rnacentral:misc_RNA from 1 species
GUUCCAGUUCCAGUUCCAGUUCCAAACAAGACCAUGGCCUCGCCUUUGACCUAAAAUUUCCCUAUUCAUUUACUAUGAUUUCAAUUCUAAUGUAAUCAAUCUAUACACAACUGAAAAAUUCAACAAUCACAUGAUUCACUGCACAUAGCUGAUCCCUCAACUGAGAAGAGUAAUAAGUCAAUAGUUCAACAGCCAAGACAAAAACCACUCCAACAGCUCCAGAAACCUAUUUUAUCAGGUUGAAUGGGUUGG